UACAGAGGGUGCAAGCGUUGUUCGGAAUUACUGGGCGUAAAGGGCUCGUAGGCGGCCAACUAAGUCAGACGUGAAAUCCCUCAGCUUAACUGGGGAACUGCGUCUGAUACUGGAUGGCUUGGAUUUGGGAGAGGGAUGCGGAAUUCCAGGUGUAGCGGUGAAAUGCGUAGAUAUCUGGAGGAACACCGGUGGCGAAGGCGGCAUCCUGGACCAAUAUUGGACGCUGAGGAGCGAAAGCCAGGGGAGCAAAGCGGGG
rnacentral:rRNA from 1 species